GUGCUUGCUUCAACAGCACAAAUACUAAAACUGAAAUGAUACUGAGAAGAUUAGCAUGGUCCCUUUGCAAAGAUGAUACACAAAUUUUUGAGAUAUUCCAUAUUUUA
rnacentral:snRNA from 1 species